GAGCGAGAGCGAAGGUGUAUCAUGACGAGCAACAUGUCGUGUAGCCUACUGGGAAGAAGAUUUGGUGUUGAUGGAGGAGGCAACAUCUUCAAGGCAAAACCUUAGACCUGAUGCAACAUCAUCCAGUGUCAAAAUCACCCUUUAGGAGGCACUUGAACACCAGUGCCCAAUAUGCACAGGAACAUUUCCAGUGUCAGAAGUAGACCUGCCAUGCCAGCUUUUGUGGAGACAGGCUCUCCAAGGAAGGUGAUUUUCAGGGGAUUGACUGGAAUUCCUGUUUUUUUAUGUUUCCACAACUUCAGACGUGUUAUCUCGUGACAGACUUCAGAUGUCUUUGUGGUGUUUAUCUGUGCUGCUGCAUGACGAAUCAAAUCCUCCUCACUGUAAAAAUAAAUAAAUAAAAUCAUAUAC